rnacentral:rRNA from 1 species
CGAAGAGUCGAGUUGUUUGGGAAUGCAGCUCUAAGUGGGUGGUAAAUUCCAUCUAAAGCUAAAUAUUUGCGAGAGACCGAUAGCGAACAAGUACAGUGAUGGAAAGAUGAAAAGAACUUUGAAAAGAGAGUGAAAAAGUACGUGAAAUUGUUGAAAGGGAAGGAUUUGAGAUCAGACUUGGUAUUUUGCAACCUUACCCUCGUGGUGGGGCCCCUGCAGUUUACUGGGCCAGCAUCAGUUUGGAUGAUGGGAUAAUGACUAAGGAAUGUGGCUCUGCUUCGGUGGAGUGUUAUAGACUUGGUUGAUACCGUCUAUCUAGACUGAGGACUGCGUCUUUUGACAAGGAUGUUGGCAUAAUGAUCUUAAAUCACCCGUCUUGAAACACGGACCAAGGAGUCUAACGUCUAUGCGAGUGUUUGGGUGUAAAACCCGUACGCGUAAUGAAAGUGAACGUAGGUGAGAGCUCUUUAGAGUGCAUCAUCGACCGAUCCUGAUGUUCUCGGAUGGAUUUGAGUAAGAGCAUAGCUGUUGGGACCCGAAAGAUGGUGAACUAUACCUGAAUAGGGUGAAGCCAGAGGAAACUCUGGUGGAGGCUCGUAGCGGUUCUGACGUGCAAAUCGAUCGUCGAAUUUGGGUAUAGGGGCCAAAGACUAAUCGAAC